CUGGGGUGACAAAUCUGUCGGGAACAGAUUUGAACGCUGUACACAGCGGCCCCGAAGGGGUGAGGCCCAGGGAUGGGCCGAGUAGCUAUGUGCAGG
rfam:Serratia fonticola strain DSM 4576, complete genome.